rnacentral:rRNA from 1 species
UAUGUAGGGUGCGAGCGUUGUCCGGAAUUAUUGGGCGUAAAGGGCUCGUAGGCGGUUUGUCGCGUCGGGAGUGAAAACCUACAGCUUAACUGUGGGCUUGCUUUCGAUACGGGCAGACUAGAGGUAUGCAGGGGAGAACGGAAUUCCUGGUGUAGCGGUGAAAUGCGCAGAUAUCAGGAGGAACACCGGUGGCGAAGGCGGUUCUCUGGGCAUGAUCUGACGCUGAGGAGCGAAAGCGUGGGGAGCGAACAGG